AAGAUAAUUUUCACCAGCAAAAAAUGGCUACUUCAACCAGUUUUAAAGCAAACCCAGCAUGCUCUAAAACAUGGAGAAACAAGGCUCCCCAGAAUAAAGAUGUUACUAGAAAAGCUAAUCUGCCCGGAAGAAACUCUUCUUAGCCACUUGCAAAAGAGAAGGUGCUUAUGUU